GAGGAUCUGCACGUGUGCUCGAGGAUCUCUGGCUCUCUGCAUCGGGCUGUUGAGGGAUUGGGUUGUGUCUCUCCUUUGUGUUUGUCGCAUCAGCUAUCCGCGGGAAGGUGGGGAGAUCGGCACGGUGUGGGGUGUCACUUCGUCGGCAUACACGUGUUUUCUUAUCCCUUACCCUGCAUCUAUUGUGAGGCAACCGUCACACAGCCGAGGGCCCUACCAGCGCUAGCCCUAACAAAGGGCGCACAUACCCACAGCUGCAUAUAUAUAUAUAUGUAUCUGCCUCCCUCUUCCUUCCCACCCACUCCGCAGAGGCAGCACAAAACCUCGGCUACUGCCACAAGCAUUCCCUCUUUUGCUCUUCGUCUUCACGCCGUUCACGCCCAACGCCGCCCACCACGCCUCGGACUCUACUCCUUUCAUGCCUAUGUAGUAUAUAUUUGGGGCGUGGUUUUCGCUAUCGUGUUCUGGAGUGCUCUCGCGUUCUCGCUAGCUUUUCACCCUUCACUGCCAUCUUUCUUUCUCUUGUCCAACUCCCUCUCUGUACUGCGCGGUUGUCGUUUCUGUUGUGUGGCUGUUGCUGACUGUGUGGUCGCCUCUUCCUCUUCUUUUCUCUCGACUUUCAGGCUUACCGUCCUCGCCCCCACCUCCUACCACCUCUCUUCUAUUCCUCCAAGGCGUUUUCAAGGGAUUGUGCGUCUUGACGUUUUUUUUUUUCGUGGUUUCUUCUCUGUAUCAUCGAGGCCAACGGUGCUGCCCCACCCCCUCCCCUUCCCUCACAUCCUCUUCCUCAUCCCCCUCGUGCCCUCGCUAGUGUUGUGUGUGCUUGUGGCGGAACAUCACCUCGGUCGUUUUUGAUCUUGGUGCUCACAGCUCUCUCUCUCUGUGCGUGUGUGUGUGUGUUUCAUAAAAGCUCACAUAUCGUUGUUCUCUUUGUUCUGCUGUUGUUGCGCCACCGGCGGCGGUGAACAUGAACCCACUCUUGGCGCGAGACUACGAGGUCCCGAAGAAGCCCAUUUUUCUUCUCGAGGGCAGAGAUGUGGUUCAGAGCACCGAGGCGUCUGCCUUCGUCUCGAACAGCGUCACUGAUAGCGUCAUGUACAGCACUAACGGGAACCUCGGUCUGCGACACCUGAGCGAGGUGGAAAGGGUCGGCUUCAAGACGGAGGUUCUGAUGAAUGGCCUCUACCACGAAGAGCCGACUGACAUAUCGGAGUACAUGGGUAUUCCUCGCACUAAUCAGGUGGGGGCGAGUAUCUGCACAGUCGACUUCGACUGCAUGCUGGACGGUGAAUCAGGUACGCUGUCGUCGAUCCCAUCCCGAAAGCUGAGCCUCGACGACGGUGCGUAUCGCAGUCAUUGCUCCGACGUCAUGAGCGCUGAUGGGGGGCUCAUCUUCGACACGAAGUACGUGCGUACAGUCGGGCUCAGCGACCUGAGCACGUGGGGUGCGCAGGUGUGCUACAGCGACUUCCGACUCGGCGCCAAGGGCUCGCCAGUGUCUGUCGGCAGCGACACUAAAAUCGGCUUCUGCAACUGCGUGGCGGGCUCCGGCGCGCCGCACAGUCUUAGUGUGGAUAGCAUGUCCGACGGGGCCCUGCAGAUACAUUCGUCACACGUGACGUACUGCUCGCACAGCGACCUGAAUUAUCGCAUCGAGCUUGUCGUGCUCAUUUCCAUUGACCAGGAGUGCUGGGAUGUUGCUCACCAGCAAAUGGAUCACGUGCAUCAGUGCUCGCUGACCUCGGGCAAGGAGGUGACGACAUUCACGGAGGUGGAGUGUGUGGUGAAGUACGGCGACACAUAUCGCCCGCUGCAGGCGGAGGUGGAGGGCACCGCAUGGAUUCGCGAAUCCGAAAGCGACACGACGUCGCCGUUCUCGCGCGAUCGGUAUAAUGUGAGUGCCGGCGGCGGCGGCGGCGGCGCGCGGGACGGCGCCAGCAGCUACAGCAAUACAGAAAGCAAGGAGCACGGUAACGGCGACCGGGAUGGCGGCAGCAACUCCGCCUUUCUUCGACCAGGCUCGUGGCACUACCACACCUUCCACAGCUCCAACAAGGCCCAGAAGUCGUACGUGAUCAAGAAGCGAUUUAUGAUGCCACUGACGCCUGAGACGGUGCCGGAUAGCGUCGUGCUGACCUUCCGUGCCUGUCACAAGCGCGACCACGCGGAGCAGCGCCCGCGAGCACUGCCGACGAUUGAGGAGAUGAUUGCGGAUCAGAAGGCUGCGCUCCAGUUGUUCUGGAAGACGUUUGACGCCGAUGUCAAGCUGCAGGACGAGCUGAGUCCCAGCCGCAGCUCGCUGCCCUUUGUGUACAACGCAUUUCGCAUGUUUAUGGUCAGUCACGGUCUGGAGGGUGGGCUGUCGCGCUCUGGGCUCUCGGCCGCCGGCGACGGGCUGCAGUUCAACCUGUCCGAGUACAUCUACUAUGGACUGUACUACCUUCUCACGCAGCCGGAAGCGUGCUUGCGACUGCUCAAGAGCGUCUACCACAUGCUGCCACAAUCGCGGAAGUAUGCGCGCGUACUCGCCAUGAACCACGGCGCCGUAUUUCCACUGAACACGAUCAGCGGCGUCCACUCCACGCAUGCUGCCAACGUGAGCAACGCUCGCUUCCACGUGAACGCCGAGAUCGGCUUCCUCAUCGCCCUCUACGACGAGGCAGCGGAGAGCAUCUCGGCUGAGGAUCGGCUGCUGCUCCUCGAGCUGAUGAUGGAGUCGGCUCGCAUCUGGCCGCAGUGUGGGGAGUGGCAGGACGACCACACCGUCUUCCGCCUGGACAACAUCGCGGGUACGGAUGAGUACAACAGCAACGCAUCGGGCAACUUCUACGUCAACAUCUCCGCGCGGAGGCAUAUCGCCUCCGCCUUCUCGUUUCUCGACCGUCAGCGUGAGCACCUUACCGAGGAGCAGCUGAACAGCGUCUUCGCUUCGCUAGGGAUGUCCCGGCACGAGAUGGCCGAGCUGCAGGCCGUCGGCGACGGCAUCGUUGUACCGCAGCGCCACGAGCGACUCGGUGUGUAUAUGGUGCAUGACAACUUCGACACCUUGAUCGACUGGGGCAACGAGCGGGCCAUGCACCCGCUUCACCUGAACUACCACCCGAUCCACAUCUAUCGACGUAAGCUCAUCGACGUGCCCGAGGUGCUGCUGGGCAUGCUGCUCUACCCCGACGAGUUCGACCAGCGCGACUUUCAGCAGAACUUCGAGUACUACCUCCCACUCUGCACGUUUGACUCGCCUGAGUCGCUGUUUGUGAUGGUACACGCGCUCUGCCGCGCACGGUCGAACUUCUCGCAGCCGAUGCCGCUUCUGCGCUCCUUGGCGAACAUCGAUCUCGACAACAUUGUCUACUCCGCCGAGGGCGGCCUGCACUUUAGCGCGAUGGCGUCGACGCUGCCGGGGCUCAUCUUCGGCUGCGGUGGGGUGCAACUUUCCCGCAAGGGACUGCAGGUGCACCCCAUCCUUCCGGCCAGGAUCGAGCGGUAUUCCUUCACGAUCAAGUGGCGCGGCGCGGUGCUGCGCGUGCUGGUGGACCGCGCGAACAUCACGUACGACCUCCUCGCGGGUGCGAGCCUGCGCUUCAUCCACGGCACCCCCGGUGAGCGGAUCCACCUUCACACCGGCUUUGGCCGCUGCCCCGAAACUACCCACCUCGCCAUCCCGCGCACGAGCCAGAGCCAGGUGGCGCAGUUUGAUGGUGUUGUGCUUCUCUCGGACUGCCUCUUCGACAACCUCCUUGAAUACAGUUACCGCUCGUGGUACAAGACGCUGGAGACGCUCUUCGACACGUACCGGGUGCUGCACAAUCGGCCCAUCCCCUCGCUCACACCGGAAGAGUUUAUCGAAAAGGUUGUCUACCAGCAUGAGGACGGCGAGAUUUCGUUUAGCGGCAUUGACCAAAUCUUGCAGCGUCGUGGACUGUGCCUAGAGUUGGGCACCCCGGAAGAUGCCGAGAUCGUUGAGACGCGGUACGGCUUGGCGAAUGCAAAAUUGGCGGAGAUGACGGAGAUGGUGGUCAUGUCGCCCCCACCCGUCAAUGCCGGCCUCUUUCGCCUGCUCAAGGGCCUGGUGGAGAACGGUGUGGCGCUGGCUGUGGUGUCAUACAGCCGGACGCUGAAGCAGCUGCUCGCCUCAAAUCCGCAGUUGGCGCGUCUCUUCGUGGCCUCCAUCGACGGUGAGGAGGCGUACGAUUGGAAGAUAAAGGGACAACCUCACCUUGACCUGUACAUGCGGGCCGCCGAGAAGAUCCACGUGGACAUUAACCGGUGCCUCGUGAUUAGCCACCACCUGGACCGCGGAUUUAACGCAAAGGAGAUGUCGAAGUUCCGCAUGUUCAUCGAUGUCGAGGACCCGUUUGUGAGUUCGCGCUUCCUUAGCAGUCCGUACCCGUCCUUGACGCCGGGGGAGUCGAAAGAGACCGGCCGAGACAACCCUGUCGUGUGCCGUCUGGAGCUGUCGCGGAUUCCGUCGUCCAUCGACGAGCUGGAGGAUAUGGUGGACGGUCGAAAAAUGUGAAAAAAAAAAGCCAGCUGCCGUGACACACCAAAAGACGUUGUGGCACCCGGAGCGGCUGCUUCGGCAGAAUUGUGUGUGUAAGUGCUUGUAUCGGUUGGCCGUGGCGUGCACGCAGGUGAAAAAGGUAGGGAAGAGAUUUCGAUGGGAGCGGGAUGUGCGCAAAGGAGAUGCUCAUCCAUCUACAUCUGGCUCCUGCACACACCCAAGCACACACUCCUGCUGAAGGAAGUCGGUGCCACCAGCCCCGAUAGGUGUGCCUUUUCACAUUUCUUUUUAUCGCCGUCCUUGUUAUCCAUUGCUGUGUGGCUCGUCAGCCACACGCUGUUGGCUGUCUUGUUGUUUGCGUGUCUCGGUCGCGUCUGCCACAGUGCAUUUUUCAUGCUCCCCGGCACAAAGCCACAACGGGAGGGUUGUCGUAAACCCAUGUGCGUGGACAUGAGUUCGGCAGCGACGGUGGCGAGACAAGCGCAUUUUCCUUCAGACACCGCUCGCAUCGGCGGUGAUGAGGGCAAGUAAAGCUCGGUGCAGGUCUAGCGUCUCGGGCUUAGCUGUAGGAGCGUCCCUUGCGAAGUGUAGGGCGAGCAAC
rnacentral:misc_RNA from 1 species